GCAACUCUCAAAUCCUCAACACUUAGUACACUUCAAAAAUUGAAAGAAAUAUACAAAUUUAGAUCACGUUAACAAAUUCAGUAUAUAUGUGGCAAUAUAAUAAAGCAUCACGCAUCAGCUAAUUUAGUAGGCAUCAAACUUAUACUCUCAUUUACUUCAAUAUCAUCGUAAAUCGUGUAAACAUAGGUUUAUACCAACAAAAUCAACAGAACCGAAAUAUGAACAAACCUAAUCGAAUACAAAACACAUAUCCACACAACAUACGCCUAAUCACAGGAACUUCAAAAGCUGUACGUAAUACGAACAAAUCCUGCAGAUUGGUAAAAAAAUCGAUAUGAACUUUCUUUUUCUCUUCACAACUUAGAAAAAGACGCAGCACGAAAAAAACACAUACCUAAUGACGGAUUCAGAAGCUGUAGCGACGAGUGGAACAAAAUCAACAUAACAGAAAUAUGAACAAACACAUAUCUACACAACAUAAUCGAGUACGCAACACAUAUCUACACAACAUACGCCUAAUCAGAAGAACUUCAAUCGCUGUAAUACGAACAAAU
rnacentral:lncRNA from 1 species